GCCGUUGUAGCACAGUGGUAGUGCGUGUGACUUGUACACAGCUGAACAGCUGAUCAAUCAAUCAUGAAGUCCCAGGUUCAAUCCCUGGCAGCGGCA
rnacentral:tRNA from 1 species